rnacentral:rRNA from 1 species
UGAGGAAUAUUGGGCAAUGGGCGCAAGCCUGACCCAGCCAUGCCGCGUGAAGGAUGAAUGCUUUCGGGUCGUAAAGCUCUGUCGAGGGGAAAGAAGUGCAUUGUGGCUAAUAUCCACGAUACUUGACGGUACCCCUAAAGGAAGCACCGGCUAACUCCGUG